AUGGCAGAAUGCUUCAAUAAGGUGCUCAAGGGUGUACGUGCAUUACCCGUGACGGCAAUAGUUCAAUACACAUUUGACAAGAUGAAUGAAUACUUUUUGAAGCACUCAAUGGAGACUGAUAAGCAGAUUGCUGGUGAGAACAAGGAUAAGCACAAGUACAAUUUCCCACCAAAGGUUGAAGAAUGGUUGGAAUUUCAAUCACGAAAGGCAGACUCCGAAGAAGCUGUUCUAUAUGACGACAACGAGUGGAAGUAUGAGGUGAAAGAGCCCGGAGGAACCACAAAUGAUGGCCGCCAGCACGGAGGCCGGGCUUUCAAGGUCUCCCUAACACGGUGUGAUUGCAGCUGCAUGAGGCCGUCUUUGCUUCAUCUCCCAUGCUCGCACUUGUUAAAUGCAUCCCGGGUUAGGAAUGUGGACGUCAAUCACCCUCUAACCGCGAGGGAGUCCGAGUUCUCAAUCAUGACGGUAAAGAAGACAUGGACUCCACGGUUCCAGCCAUACUUGGACCAAUCACAAUGGCCGGAGUAUCAUGGAGUUCAACUAUGGCCGGACCCG
rnacentral:rRNA from 1 species